GCAGAACGCGAAGAACCUUACCUGGGCUCGAACGGCGGACGACGUCUCUUAGAAAUAGGAGAGUUUCCUUCGGGAACGGCCGUCGAGGUGCUGCAUGGCUGUCGUCAGCUCGUGUCGUGAGAUGUUGGGUUAAGUCCCGCAACGAGCGCAACCCUUGUCCUGUGUUGCUAAUCUUCGGAUGCACUCUCAGGAGACCGCCAGCGACAAGCUGGAGGAAGGUGGGGAUGAUGUCAAGUCAGCAUGGCCUUUAUGUCCAGGGCUACACACGUGCUACAAUGGGCAGGACAGACCGUUGCAAACCCGCGAGGGGAGCUAAUCGGAGAAACCUAGUUCUCAGUUCGGAUUGCAGGCUGCAACUCGCCUGCAUGAAGCUGGAAUCGCUAGUAAUGGCAGAUCAGCAUGCUGCCGUGAAUACGUUCCCGGGUCUUGUACACACCG
rnacentral:rRNA from 1 species